rnacentral:rRNA from 1 species
UAUCCGGAUUUAUUGGGUUUAAAGGGAGCGUAGGCGGGUGCUUAAGUCAGUUGUGAAAGUUUGCGGCUCAACCGUAAAAUUGCAGUUGAUACUGGGCGCCUUGAGUGCAGCAUAGGUAGGCGGAAUUCGUGGUGUAGCGGUGAAAUGCUUAGAUAUCACGAAGAACUCCGAUUGCGAAGGCAGCUUACUGGACUGUAACUGACGCUGAUGCUCGAAAGUGUGGGUAUCAAACAGGAUUAGAUACCCUGGUAGUCCACACAGUAAACGAUGAAUACUCGCUGUUGGCGAUACACAGUCAGCGGCCAAGCGAAAGCAUUAAGUAUUCCACCUGGGGAGUACGCCGGCAACGGUGAAACUCAAAGGAAUUGACGGGGGCCCGCACAAGCGGAGGAACAUGUGGUUUAAUUCGAUGAUACGCGAGGAACCUUACCCGGGCUUAAAUUGCAGCGGAAUGUAUGGAAACAUUACAGCCUUCGGGCCGCUGUGAGGUGCCGCAUGGUUGUC